rnacentral:rRNA from 1 species
UACAGAGGAGCCAAGCGUUGUCCGGAUUGACUGGGCGUAAAGCGCACGCAGGCGGACGCGCGCGUGGGGUGUGAAAUCUGGCCGCUUAACGGCCAGGCGCCAUCCCAUACGGCGCGUCUGGAGCAAUGCAGAGGUCGGUGGAAUUGCCGGUGUAGUGGUGAAAUGCGUAGAGAUCGGCAGGAACACCCAGGGGGAAACCAGCCGGCUGGGGACGAGCUGACGCUCAGGGGCGAAAGCGUGGGGAGCGAACCGG